rnacentral:rRNA from 1 species
AUACGGAGGGUGCAAGCGUUAAUCGGAAUUACUGGGCGUAAAGCGCGCGUAGGCGGUUUGAUAAGUCGGAUGUGAAAUCCCCGGGCGCAACCUGGGAAUUGCAUUCGAUACUGUCAGGCUAGAGUGUGGUAGAGGGAAGUGGAAUUUCCGGUGUAGCGGUGAAAUGCGUAGAUAUCGGAAGGAACACCAGUGGCGAAGGCGGCUUCCUGGACCAACACUGACGCUGAGGUGCGAAAGCGUGGGGAGCAAACAGGAUUAGAAACCCCAGUAGUCC